AAAACUUUCAACAACGGAUCUCUUGGUUCUGGCAUCGAUGAAGAGCGCAGCAAAAUGCGAUAAGUAAUGUGAAUUGCAGAAUUCAGUGAAUCAUCGAAUCUUUGAACGCACAUUGCGCCCGCCAGUAUUCUGGCGGGCAUGCCUGUUCGAGCGUCAUU
rnacentral:rRNA from 1 species